rnacentral:rRNA from 1 species
GAUGAACGCUGGCGGCAUGCCCAAUACAUGCAAGUCGAACGAGAGGAAGGAAAGCUUGCUUUCCUGAAUCUAGUGGCGAACGGGUGAGUAACACGUAGGUAACCUGCCCAUGUGCCCGGGAUAACUUCUGGAAACGGAUGCUAAAACCGGAUAGGUAGCAGACAAGCAUUUGACUGCUAUUAAAGUGGCCUUGGCCAUGAACAUGGAUGGACCUGCGGUGCAUUAGCUAGUUGGUGAGGUAACGGCCCACCAAGGCGACGAUGCAUAGCCGGCCUGGGAGGGCGGACGGCCAGAUUGGGACUGAGACACGGCCCAAACUCCUACGGGAGGCAGCAGUAGGGAAUUUUCGUCAAUGGGGGGAACCCUGAACGAGCAAUGCCGCGUGAGUGAGGAAGGUCUUCGGAUCGUAAAGCUCUGUUGUAAGAGAAAAACGGCACUCAUAGGGGAUGAUGAGUGAGUGAUGGUAUCUUACCAGAAAGUCACGGCUAACUACGUGCCAGCAGCCGCCGUAAGAC